rnacentral:rRNA from 1 species
UACGAAGGGGCUAGCGUUGCUCGGAAUUACUGGGCGUAAAGCGCACGUAGGCGGCUUCUUAAGUCGGUGGUGAAAUCCUGGAGCUCAACUCCAGAACUGCCUUCGAUACUGGGAAGCUCGAGUCCGGGAGAGGUGGAGUGGAACUGCGAGUGUAGAGGUGAAAUUCGUAGAUAUUCGCAAGAACACCAAUGGCGAAGGCAGCCUUCUGGGCCCAACACGUGACGCUCUGCACGAAAGCGUGGGAGC